rnacentral:lncRNA from 1 species
GUGCUCCUGAACAUGCAAAGAACAUCCCCUCUAGCCUGUCUCAACCUCCUCCCGUCAGUACUCCCGUCCCGAAACCUGAAAUCCUCCCAACAGGAAUGUACAGAACGACGAAUGCUGCAGGAACGCCGCAGCUAGUGACAUUGUCUUCUGGUCAGCUUCAUCACCAUCAACAGCAACAACAGCAACAUCAGCAGUUUGUGGGUUAUUCACAAGUUCAUCAUCAUCCAUCCCAGUCUGUGGCACCUCCUGGCAAUCCGAACUAUGGUUAUGAGUUUGUCGAUCCUAGUCAUGGUCAGAUGUACUACACUCAGCCACCAAUGCCUUCACAGUACCAAACGAUGACAUCAGGUG